GCAGCAGCCUGACGGAGAUCCUGAGCUUAAAUCCCGGGACGAAGAAGAAGCAGCCUCCUUUCCUCUGUUCUGACCUCUGUUGAAACUCUGCAAUAAUGGCUCCUCCCGUGGCUGUGUCGCCUCUCAUUAAGACAGCCAGGUAUUCUGCCCUGCUGGUCGGUAUCCUCUACGGUAAAAGCCGAUAUGAACACCUGAAGCCGAUCGCAGCCGAGGAAAGGAGGAUCGAGGAGGAGGAGAAGAAGAUCCGUGAGGAGCAGGAGCGCAUCGCAAAGCAGAUCGCAGAAGCGAGUGAAGACACCAUUCUGAAGUAAAACCCUGGCGUUUUCUACCAGCGUCCAUGUGUCAUUUUCUACCCUCUUCCUCCUUUUUGUGGAGUAACAUCAUCACAGCUCGCUAUUAGACACCGCAGCAGUUUUGCCAAACAGUGAUUUGUAUUAGUGAAAUGAAUUACAGCUCUUCAACUUAGCAUUGUAACUGCCAUUGCAGCUAAGUAAGUUGAUAUUUGUAAAUGUCAUAAAUACAGACUGCUUGUAAAUGUCAUAAAUACGUCACUUUAUCUUUGCUUUUACGUACCAACAUGACAUUUCUUUGUACUUUCUGUUCUCUCUCGGCCAGUUACAGUACUCAGCUUUGACAUGUUUGGUAGAACAGAUGUCUAUUUUUCUUUUCUGCCCUUAAAUGUAGAGAAUAAAUGAAACGCAGGCGUGUUUAAUUUGGAAAUCACAGAUUGUGGCCACAAUUUCCUGUUAUUUUAGCAACACCUUUUUGGAUCUCUGCUGCUCUUUAGCAACACCUGUAAGGAUUCUUGUUCCCCUCAGUCAUUAAAUAAUUAAAAACAAUGUUACAAAACUCA